rnacentral:rRNA from 1 species
GAGUUCUGGGAUACCACCCUGAAUGCUCUUGACAUUGUCUGAUCUCAGAAGCUAAAGCAGGGUUGGUCCUGGUGCACU